AAACUAACAAGGAUUCCCCUAGUAACUGCGAGUGAAGCGGGAUGAGCUCAAAUUUAAAAUCUGGCGGUCUCCGGCCGUCCGAGUUGUAAUCUGGAGAAGCGUUUUCCGCGUCGGACCGUGUACAAGUCUCUUGGAACAGAGCGUCAUAGAGGGUGAGAAUCCCGUCCAUGACACGGACUGCCGAUGCUUUGUGAUACGCUCUCAAAGAGUCGAGUUGUUUGGGAAUGCAGCUCAAAAUGGGUGGUAAAUUCCAUCUAAAGCUAAAUAUUGGCGAGAGACCGAUAGCGAACAAGUACCGUGAGGGAAAGAUGAAAAGCACUUUGGAAAGAGAGUUAAACAGUACGUGAAAUUGUUGAAAGGGAAACGCUUGAAGUCAGUCGCGUUGUCCGGGACUCAGCCUUGCUUUUGCUUGGUGUACUUCCCGUUCGACGGGUCAACAUCGAUUUUGACCGGCGGAUAAAGGCGGGGGGAAUGUGGCACCUUCGGGUGUGUUAUAGCCCUCUGUUGCAUGCGUCGGUUGGGAUCGAGGACCGCAGCGCGCCCUCGUGGCCGGGAGGUACGCCUCCACGUUACGCGCUUAGGAUGUGGCAUAAGCUAGCUUUAAGCGACCCGUCU
rnacentral:rRNA from 2 species